GGUACCUUGGCCGAGUGGUCAGGCAUCGGUCUGCAAAACCGAGUACAGCAGUUCGAAUCUGCUAGGUACCU
rnacentral:tRNA from 1 species